UGAGCAAUCUGCCCUUCUCUUUGGAAUAAGCGUUGGAAACGACGUCUAAUGCCGAAUACGACCUCCUUUCGCAUGAUCGGAGGUGGAAAGCUCCGGCGGAGAAGGAUGAGCUCGCGGCCUAUCAGCUAGUUGGUGUGGGUAAUGGCCCACCAAGGCGACGACGGGUAGCCGGCUUGAGAGGGUGACCGGCCACACUGCGACUGAGACACGGCCCAGACUCCUACGGGAGCAG
rnacentral:rRNA from 1 species